GACGAACGCUGGCGGCGUGCUUAACACAUGCAAGUCGAACGGAAAGGCCCUGCUUUUGUGGGGUGCUCGAGUGGCGAACGGGUGAGUAACACGUGAGUAACCUGCCCUUGACUUUGGGAUAACUUCAGGAAACUGGGGCUAAUACCGGAUAGGAGCUCCUGCUGCAUGGUGGGGGGUGGAAAGUUUCGGCGGUUGGGGAUGGACUCGCGGCUUAUCAGCUUGUUGGUGGGGUAGUGGCUUACCAAGGCUUUGACGGGUAGCCGGCCUGAGAGGGUGACCGGCCACAUUGGGACUGAGAUACGGCCCAGACUCCUACGGGAGGCAGCAGUGGGGAAUAUUGCACAAUGGGCGGAAGCCUGAUGCAGCAACGCCGCGUGCGGGAUGACGGCCUUCGGGUUGUAAACCGCUUUCGCCUGUGACGAAGCGUGAGUGACGGUAAUGGGUAAAGAAGCACCGGCUAACUACGUGCCAGCAGCCGCCGCCG
rnacentral:rRNA from 1 species